rnacentral:lncRNA from 1 species
ACUUUUCAAUCGGAUUAAAAGUGUCGUAUUUGGAAUCUAAUGCAUGUUUUUGUAAGGCAUUGGCUGCAACUGCUUCUAACUGAACAGCACAAGUUGUUCGGCACACGGGUUCAUUUCUCUGAUUUGGAUAGCCGGAAAGAUCUCCUCUUUUCUGAUGAUUUGGUUUUGCUUAUCCAACAGGUCUCGCGCCCGAAAUUCCUGAGGAUCUCUACCACCUCAUCAAGAAGGCAGUGUCCAUCAGGAAGCACUUGGAGAGGAAUAGGAAGGACAAAGAUUCCAAGUUUAGGCUCAUUCUUGUCGAAAGCAGGAUCCAUAGGCUCGCGCGCUACUACAAGAAGACCAAGAAGCUUCCCCCUGUCUGGAAAUAGUAAGCUCUCUUGCUGAUGUUUGUUGAAAUCUUUAUGUUGCACAGUAGUAAGCACAAUAUCAAGUUCUGUUCCGCGUAUUUAAUGAUUCUCUAAUUUGUCACCAUCUAGCAACUUCAACUGAAACUAUGGGAAUUAGUCUUCAGUAGUUUUUGACCUGCACAUGGGCAGGGGAGUCCAACAGACAACUCCCUUGCUAGACCAAUCGACUCUUUCUUCCCUAAUAUGAAUCUAAGGCCCUACUACCUGACUUGGAGACUUGGAGUGGUACCUCGACUGAUGAGUCUGUUACAGAUGUCUGAGUCUUCCAUGACUCAUGGUUGUAAAUGUAAUAGAUAAACCAAUAUGGUCUGCAGCUUAGCAGUGGUUAACUUAUCUUGACAUCGAACUUUUAAGUUUUGGAUGUCAGAGCAGAGUCAUAACGUACUAUUGUCUCAUGCCUGGUUACUCUUUUUGGUAUAGAUAUACUUUCCUGCUGGUCUUGGUGUUUUCCUGUUUCUAGUUGUCUCCUGUUAAGGGCAGAUUGGUUGAAAAUAUCCUUCAAACUUCAUCUUUUGUCUAGUAAUGUGCAUUCUCCAUUAUCCUGUCUUCUAUAGAUUUAUUAAAUUUUAUGAUUUUAUUUAUCCCUUGUUUUUUGUCUGUGUUGCAGCGAGUCUACAACUGCUAGCACUCUUGUGGCUUAAGCAGCAUUUUGGAUCAUAAACCAGUUUUGAUGUAGCAUUUGAUUGCUGGUGGUCAUUGAUGCUCUCUCACUCACUAUUGCUCUUGAGAAUUUCAUGUAGUUUGGAUGAAAGUAUAUUUUUUAUUGUACUCUAGGUGAGGAUAGAGAGAUGAGAUUUGUUGCGUUUGGACUAUCAUUUUCAUUUAUUGAUUUUGAAGUUGACCUAUGUAGCGUCGUCUUGGUGCUAAUGGUUCAAUUUGGAAAUAGCUUACUUCCAAUUGCUCCACAAGUUGGAGCUCUCCUCUCGGUCAUUUGAAAAAAAGAUGAGGAUAUCCUCUUUUGAGGACAUCUUAAUUUAGUGGUAAUUCAAUGACGAUCUCGUGCUGGGGACCGAUUACAAAUUACCAGCCAAACACGAUAAGGAGCAAGAUGCUGUCGAUGAUAACGUAUGAUGUUGGUUGAUCCAAAGUAACACAACUGCUUUCCAUCUUUUUCCUUUGUUAGAUUGAGGACGUCUUGUUCCGAUUGUGGCCUCUCUAGUUCGUGAUUCAUAGUUGAAUGUAUGCUUGAGAGAGUCAAUUUGAGGCAGGUCUGAAUGGUCUUCUCGCGGUUGUAAGUUCUAACUGCUGAAGUUGGGUGAAUUUAGGUUUAGGUACGGUGUUGUGACUCGAGCUGUAGAAGCAGCAAAUCUAACAGAUUUAUUAUCAAAUUCUUGACCAGGAAAAUGUUUGUUUGAAAGCAAGAACGACAGGGCUGAUAGACUCAAUCGGCUUUAUUUGGUAUUUGAAACCUUUUCCUUAAUUUCCUUGAUAGCAACUUAAGGUUCAGUCCUCGCAUUCUUUUAAAUGUUCCACUUGGCUUGCGGCUUCGAGGUGCCAAUGCUUUGGUGUUGUCCUGCUUCUUCUCGAUGCUAAUCAUCAGAACAGUCCCUGCAUAAAACAGGAGUGAGGUCCGACAUCAUGAGAUGAAAAUGCAAGUACACCGACCCAUAAUUCAAGGAUGCCUACGGAGUCAAUCAAAGAGCGGUACCUCUUCACGACAGAAUUUGCAGAACUGUUAGUUGCCUGAUUUAAACCCCUGACUAAUGCAGCCGGUACCUGGAAACGAAAAACGCCAAAUGGCUUUUAGAGGAGAGGAAGAACAGGGAAUUCGAUAAGAAAGAUUAUGAAUCGGAGUUAUUUGGUGUUGUCAAGUUCUUUCGAUUUCUCUUGUCAGAGUUAGCUAUCGGGGGAAUGAGCUGGCGUUACUUUAUUAUGAGUGAGAUUAUAGUUAAUAAUUAGAACACCCUUUGAUAACAGGUUGUAACUAAUUCAAUUAACAGAUGACACAAGAUGAAUGCUCGCGCCUAAGCCUGUAUUUUUCGUUCUCAAAAGAGUCAAAAUUUUGACUAAGUUGUGCCUGAUCUGUGGUUAGCACGGUAUACUUAUAUAAUGAUACCUCAAAACUGGCAGAUUCUUGAGGCAAAAGUUGGUUCCUUGAUAAUUUUACAUGCUAGUAAGCGAACAAUCCCUGUUAUUUCUAAUGCCAAUGUAUAUGUAAGAAAGAAUGCGAUCAAUGAAUACUCACUUUGAAAUGUUCUAUACGCUUGAUAGCAUCGUUAGGGAAUCCUAUGAGCAAUUCAACUUCUCAAACCUAUCAAAUUUCUCCCAUCGCUGGAUUGUCAGAUCUAUUUCACUAUGCAUCACAGCAAAAUAAGUAAAUGAGGUACAUUCAAACCAAAUCCACAACUGACUAUACAACUCUGAGGACUUUACAAACCCGAUCUUAUCCCUUGCUUCCGCUCGUUGCUGAUUAAGCACCGCGAGUUCUUCCUCGGAGCCUACAGAAAAUAUUAACAUCAAAGUCAAUCAUCUUUUGAUUGAUUAGCAGGUCAACGAUAAGCAAGAGUAGCAGUCAUAGAUCAAUUGAUAUACCCGCAUUCGGAAGGCAGUUGGACCGUCACCAAUAAUUUUUAUCAUAAUCAAAUGAAGGAUAAACAAUUCGAGUUCUUCUGAUUAUUCUUGUCCGAGUAAGCUCAUCGCAAGAAUGGUAUUUUUCCCUCCAUUUUAGACCUCAUUAAACUUUAAAAACUUAAUUAAGAGAGCCGAGGAAAAGAGGAGUGCCUAUCCCUCUCAAGCCCAUUCCGCAUUUUCUUCUGGGCCCAAGCCCAUUAGAGGGCUUCUGUAAGGAGUUCUUAUACAAAACCCUAGAUACUCGCCUGGAUCCCCUCCCCGUCGUCGGAAGAAGAAGAAGAAGAAGAAGAAGAAGAAGCACCUCCUCAGCAGGCGGCGAGUCGCAGCGGAAGCCGUCCUCCACAAGCUCGUCGCCAUGGGUCGCAUGCACAGUCGCGGGUACGUUCCUGCUUUCUAUCGCUUCUCCGAUUGUCUGUGCGGAUGAGCGAGUGGCCGGAUUCGUCAUAGCUCGUGCAUGUGAAAUUUUUUUUUUGUAGUAAGGGCAUCUCAGCCUCGGCGCUUCCUUACAAGAGGACUUCUCCGAGCUGGCUCAAGAUCUCCUCUCAGGACGUGAGUGGAAUCUCUCUUCAUUUGGUUUUCGGUUUCGUGUGAGGCGGGCGUAUCUCGUGGGAUUGAUUCGAUUCGAUUCGAUAUCUGCUGUAGGUGGAGGAGAACAUCUGCAAGUUCGCGAAGAAAGGCUUGACGCCGUCGCAGAUUGGUGUCAUUCUUCGUGACUCUCACGGGAUUGCCCAGGUGAGGAGCGUCACCGGUAGCAAGAUCUUGCGUAUCCUCAAGGCACACGGUACGUUAUACUUUCCAUUUUCAUUGUAUUCGUGAAGUGAAUUUUGCCUGUUAAUAUAUAGAUGCUGUCUAUAUGCUAGCUAUGGAGUACUUAAAGUUGUAAGCUUGAUGACUUUGGCGGCUGAAACCAGUUAAAUCACUGCUUUAAGAGGAGAUUAGUUAGUUUUUUGGAGCUUGUUAUGUUGUUGUGGUCCCAAAAUCAUACUGAAAACUGUUGGAUCGGAUUGACAAGAAGUCAUUUCUGGAAUCCAAUGCGUGUUUUUGUCUUGCGUAAAAGUUGGUAUAGAUUGUUGGAGAAAGCAUCGGCUGCUACUGCUUCUAACUAAACGGCACGAGUCGUUUGGCACAGGAAAGUCUCCGCUUUUUCUGAUGAUUUUCGGUUUUGCUUUUCCAACAGCCCUUGCGCCCGAGAUUCCUGAGGAUCUCUACCACCUCAUCAAGAAGGCAGUGUCCAUCAGGAAGCAUUUGGAGAGGAACAGG